UUAAUUAAAAAUAUAAUUGUAAAAUGUAAGUCUCCCGCUCUUGUCAUCGUUCAGGCUUUGCAUUUGAACUCCUAUGACUGGUUGCGGACUUGAAGGGAACGACUUCCUGGCCUUGCUGACCUCCAGGAAAAAGGUGUAACAUCUACCAAUGGUUGUACAUGACAUAGACCUCCUCCACCUCUUCGCUGUCCUACUGGUCAACCCUUCUGAUCAGAGCCAUUCCUAAAUAGUGUUUGCUUCAAUAAGUGGCUUCAACACACAGAAAUGCAGGCCAGAUUGGGAAAGGCUGGACGCUACACAACAGGAAACAUUAUGGACAUGAACAAGGAAAAACAAAGAACACUUUCUUUGUUGCCUUUUUCUUAUCAUACAUAGUGUUACUG